GCCCGGGUGGUCUAGUGGUAUGAUUCUCGCUUAGGGUUAUAACCCAAGCAUACAUUUGCGAGAGGUCCCGCGUUCGAUCCGCGGCUCGGGCC
rnacentral:tRNA from 2 species